AGCCGGCUAGCUCAGUCGGUAGAGCUUGAGACUUCUAAUCCCAGGGUCGUGGGUUCGAUUCCCACACUGGGUG